rnacentral:rRNA from 1 species
UCAAUCUCGUGCGGCUAGAAGCCGCCUGUCCCUCUAAGAAGAACUGCUUGUACGCCGGCAGUAAAAAGUAAGCGCAACCGUGGACAACCUUGCGGCUACCGCGGCAGGCUACCCUUCGAGAUGCCGGAAAUACGCCUAGUUAGCAGGCUAGAGUCUCGUUCGUUAU